GGAGCAGAGCAGUCAAAGAAUGAAGCAAAGCAAAUGAUUGUUCUAGAAUGGUUAUUCCUUACAAUUGCUCCUUGUGAUGCAGCGGAACCAUGGCAAUUAGGAUUUCAAGACGCAGCAAGCCCUAUGAUGCAAGGAAUAAUGGACUUACAUCACGAUAUCUUUUUCUUCCUCAUUCUGAUUUUGGUUUUUGUAUUAUGGAUCUUGGUUCGCGCUUUAUGGCAUUUCCACUAUCAAAAAAAUCCAAUCCCGCAAAGGAUUGUUCAUGGAACUACUAUCGAGAUUCUUUGGACCAUAUUUCCUAGUAUCAUCCUUAUGUUCAUUGCUAUACCAUCAUUUGCUCUGUUAUACUCAAUGGACGAGGUAGUAGUAGAUCCAGCCAUUACUAUCAAAGCUAUUGGACAUCAAUGGUAUUGGACUUAUGAGUAUUCAGACUAUAACAGUUCCGAUGAAGAGUCACUCACUUUUGACAGUUAUAUGAUUCCAGAAGAUGAUCUAGAAUUGGGUCAAUUACGUUUAUUAGAAGUGGACAAUAGAGUGGUUGUACCAGCCAAAACUCAUCUACGUAUUAUUGUAACAUCUGCUGAUGUACUUCAUAGUUGGGCUGUACCUUCCUUAGGUGUCAAAAAAUGUGAUGCUGUACCUGGUCGUUUAAAUCAGAUCUCUAUUUUGGUACAACGAGAAGGAGUUUACUAUGGUCAGUGCAGUGAGAUUUGUGGAACUAAUCAUGCCUUUAUGCCUAUCGUCGUAGAAGCUGUUUCUAGGAAAGAUUAUGGUUCUUGGGUAUCCAAUCAAUUAAUUCCCCAAACCGGGGAAGCUUAAGUGGAAAUGAAAGAAUAGGGUGAGGGAAAAGGGGGGAAGCCACUAAAUUGAAGGCUUCACUCGCUCGCUCUAACGCUCGUUUAGUAGACAGCGAGUGGAGUGCAUAAGCCCCUUUAGAGAUAGGGGGGAGUACUACACGAGCUCGUAAGUCAAGUACGGAACGAGCCUUGUCUACGAAGCAGAGCGACCUCGUCUUGCUUGCUUCUGGCGAAGCUUCUAGAACUAGAUAAUAGGCAUUUUUUUUAUGGUAGGAAAACGACUUUUUAGGCCGACUACUACAUAGGAGCGAUAGCGAAGCCAAGCCGUAUAAAGGCGAGCAGCCCUUAUAGCAAUAUCAAACGGCCUACUUAUAGCCCUCCCCGGGGACUUCAACGGGUCUUACAAGCUCAUAAAAAAAAUGGCAAUUCUUCACGUUUUCCUCAGAGAGUGGGAAUGAAUUCUAUUACUUGAUUGACAUUGACAGAUAUGUGUACCACACCGAACAAGCAAUAUGCCGAUAUGCUUGAUGUACCAGCCAAGCCAGCUCGACCGUAUACAGUAUAAGGGAUUCGCCUUUGCCUCAGACAAAAUAAAAACGGAUUGAACAGGACAGGACAACCGGGAAGGGAAGCCUGACAUAGAUAUUGAUUUGAACAAAGGAACUGAAACCGGUACCAGAAACCAAACAAGAGAUGGAAUUCCAGAUUGAACAGAUGACCGACCUACAAUAAGACGAAAAUAUGAUUCCUAAUUCCAUUCUCUAAGACGAAUUAAAGGGAUGUCUCUAAGCAGCCAAGGCCAAGAGCAAGCAAGAGUAGUCC
rnacentral:misc_RNA from 1 species